GAGACCGAGCGAGAAAGCUGGAGAGGAGCAGAAAGAAACUGCCAGUGGCGGCUAGAUUUCGGAGGCCCCAGUGCACCCGUGGACUCCUUCGGAACUUGGCACCCUCAGGAGCCCUGCAGUCCUCUCAGGCCCGGCUUUCGGGCGCUUGCCGUGCAGCCGGAGGCUCGGCUCGCUGGAAAUCGCCCCGGGAAGCAGUGGGACGCGGAGACAGCAGCUCUCUCCCGGUAGCCGAUAACGGGGAAUGGAGACCAACUGCCGCAAACUGGUGUCGGCGUGUGUGCAAUUAGGCGUGCAGCCGGCGGCCGUUGAAUGUCUCUUCUCCAAAGACUCCGAAAUCAAAAAGGUCGAGUUCACGGACUCUCCUGAGAGCCGAAAAGAGGCAGCCAGCAGCAAGUUCUUCCCGCGGCAGCAUCCUGGCGCCAAUGAGAAAGAUAAAAGCCAGCAGGGGAAGAAUGAGGACGUGGGCGCCGAGGACCCGUCUAAGAAGAAGCGGCAAAGGCGGCAGCGGACUCACUUUACCAGCCAGCAGCUCCAGGAGCUGGAGGCCACUUUCCAGAGGAACCGCUACCCGGACAUGUCCACACGCGAAGAAAUCGCUGUGUGGACCAACCUUACGGAAGCCCGAGUCCGGGUAGG
rnacentral:lncRNA from 1 species